GAAGAGGAAUGGGCAAGGGGCAAAGAACAGGAAUUGAAACAGUAAAGCAACUUUCCCCCUCCUCUGCCUGUCGCGGAGGUUCCUGUAUGGUCCUGAAUAGCAGGAGACACUCAACAAGGGGAAAACUGGGCAUUGUACAGUUCCUGCUAAGACCUGGGGAGCUAGUUAACAAAAGGCUACAACAGGAAGUAGAGGCUGAGCCUAUCAUGCACAGACAUUUGAAAAUACAGUCUCUUUUUAAAAGAAAAUUCUAGAUAUGAUUGGGUAUUCUGGAAAAUGAAGACUCAGCUUGUCCCCUUCUCAUUUACUAGUUUACUAUCCAGACAGAAAACAUGCAAAAGAAGCCAGACUGAUCAACAUCCUCAUUUCUGCAAGACUGAGAAAUGGACUAAGAAAUGGGAGAAUUUAAACUGGAUUUAAAGGCUGGAUCUGCAGAUGCUGAAUGGAUGACUAAAGACAGAUCUCUAGAAUUAUAAGAAAUGAGAAUCUGUUCUGAAAGCUACUUGAAGACAAAAGAUGAAACAUCAAGAAAGA